rnacentral:tRNA from 1 species
GGCGGUGUAGCUCAGCUGGUUAGAGCACAGCACUCAUAAUGCUGGGGUCGGCGGUUCAAGUCCGCCCGCCGCUACCA